rnacentral:lncRNA from 1 species
UCUUGCUUUAUUUGAUAUGCAUGAAAAUGAAGUAGUUGGGUCCAACGCCCCUAAGACCACACGCCUUAAUGUGAUUAAACGCGUAACUAAAAUCAAUCACCAUUCCUAGACCGAGAUUCAACACAAGGCUCGUGUUGAAUCUAAACAAAGGUUCAUAAUCAUCCUAAGGCCCUAAGGCAACUAUAUAGUCCAUCAAAUGAAUGCAAAAUUUUAUGUUAGUAGUAUCAUAUACUCUUGCUUUAAAAACCGUUUUAUAAGCAUAGUGGGAGUAUU